AUUGAACGCUGGCGGCAUGCCUUACACAUGCAAGUCGAACGGCAGCACGGGAGCAAUCCUGGUGGCGAGUGGCGAACGGGUGAGUAAUAUAUCGGAACGUGCCCAGUCGUGGGGAUAACGUAGCGAAAGCUACGCUAAUACCGCAUACGAUCUAUGGAUGAAAGCGGGGGAUCGCAAGACCUCGCGCGAUUGGAGCGGCCGAUAUCAGAUUAGGUAGUUGGUGAGGUAAAGGCUCACCAAGCCGACGAUCUGUAGCUGGUCUGAGAGGAUGAUCAGCCACACUGGGACUGAGACACGGCCCAGACUCCUACGGGGAGCAGCAGUGGGGAAUAUUGGACAAUGGGCGAAAGCCUGAUCCAGCAAUGCCGCGUGAGUGAUGAAGGCC
rnacentral:rRNA from 1 species